rnacentral:rRNA from 1 species
GACGAACCGUGCGAACGUUAUUCGGAAUCACUGGGCUUAAAGCGCGUGUAGGCGUGACGGCACGUCGGUCGCUGAAAUCCCCCGGCUCAACCGGGGAACGGGCGCCGAUACGACCGCCCUGGAGGGACGUAGGGGGACCUGGAACUUCCGGUGGAGCGGUGAAAUGCGUUGAGAUCGGAAGGAACGCCCGUGGCGAAAGCGAGGUCCUGGACGUUUUCUGACGCUGAGACGCGAAAGCCAGGGGAGCGAACGGG